AGAGUUUGAUCAUGGCUCAGAACGAACGUUGGCGGCGUGGCUGAGGCAUGCAAGUCGAACGAGAAAGCGGGCUUCGGUCCGUGAGUACAGUGGCGAAAGGGUGCGCAGCAAUUGGAUAACCUGCCUUGGAGACGAGGAUAACCUGGGGAAACCCGGGCUAAUACUCGAUAAGACCGUGGGUACGCGUGCCCGCGGUAAAAGGAUUACCGCUUCAAGAGGGGUCCAAUUCUUAUCAGCUUGUUGGUGAGGUAAUGGCUCACCAAGGCGGCGACGGGUACCUGGUCUGAGAGGAUGUCCAGGCACAUUGGGACUGAGACACUGCCCAAACACCUACGGGUGGCUGCAGUUCGGAAUAUUCCACAAUGCGCGAAAGCGUGAUGGAGCGACGCCGCGUGCGUGAUGAAGGCCCUCGGGUUGUAAAGCGCUGUCAAGGGGUAGCAAAGCGAAAGCUGAGUUAAACCCUGAAGGAAGGACCGGCUAACUACGUGCCAGCAGCCGCGGUAAUACGUAGGGUCCAAACGUUGUUCGGUGUCACUGGGCUUAAAGGGCGCGUAGGCGGCCUGUUAAGUGAGAUGUGAAAUCCCACGGCUCACCCGUGGAAGUGCAUUUCAUACUGGCAGGCUUGAGGGGUGUAGAGGUAAGCGGAAUUCUAGGUGUAGCGGUGACAUGCGCAGAUAUCUAGGAGAAGACCGGUGGCGAAGGCGGCUUACUGGGCACCUCCUGACGCCGAGGCGCGAAAGCGUGGGGAGCAAACAGGAUUAGAUACCCUGGUAGUCCACGCCGUAAACUAUGUGCACUAGGUAGAGAGGGUUCCGAAACCCUGCUCUGCCGUAGCAAAAGCGUUAAGUGCACCGCCUGGGGAGUAUGGUCGCAAGGCUGAAACUCAAAUGAAUUGACGG
rnacentral:rRNA from 1 species